rnacentral:rRNA from 1 species
UCCCUACGGGAGGCAGCAGUGAGGAAUAUUGGUCAAUGGCCGAGAGGCUAAACCAGCCAAGUCGCGUGAGGGAAGACGGCCCUACGGGUUGUAAACCUCUUUUGCCGGGGAGCAAGCGUGCGUUCGUGAACGCGCGUCGAGAGUACCCGGAGAAAAAGCAUCGGCUAACUCCGUGCCAGCAGCCGCGGUAAUACGGAGGAUGCGAGCGUUAUCCGGAUUUAUUGGGUUUAAAGGGUGCGUAGGCGGGAUGCCAAGUCAGCGGUAAAAAUGCGGUGCUCAACGCCGUCGAGCCGUUGAAACUGGCG